GACGAACGCUGGCGGCGUGAUUAACACAUGCAAGUCGAACGGAAAGGCCCUGCUUUUGUGGGGUGCUCGAGUGGCGAACGGGUGAGUAACACGUGAGUAACCUGCCCUUGACUUUGGGAUAACUUCAGGAAACUGGGGCUAAUACCGGAUAGGAGCUCCUGCUGCAUGGUGGGGGUUGGAAAGUUUCGGCGGUUGGGGAUGGACUCGCGGCUUAUCAGCUUGUUGGUGGGGUAGUGGCUUACCAAGGCUUUGACGGGUAGCCGGCCUGAGAGGGUGACCGGCCACAUUGGGACUGAGAUACGGUCCAGACUCCUACGGGAGGCAGCAGUGGGGAAUAUUGCACAAUGGGCGGAAGCCUGAUGCAGCAACGCCGCGUGCGGGAUGACGGCCUUCGGGUUGUAAACCGCUUUCGCCUGUGACGAAGCGUGAGUGACGGUAAUGGGUAAAGAAGCACCGGCUAACUACGUG
rnacentral:rRNA from 1 species